CCUACGGGAGGCAGCAGUGAGGAAUAUUGGUCAAUGGACGAGAGUCUGAACCAGCCAAGUAGCGUGAAGGAUGACUGCCCUAUGGGUUGUAAACUUCUUUUAUAUGGGAAUAAAAUGUUCCACGUGUGGGAUUUUGUAUGUACCAUAUGACUAAGGAUCGGCUAACUUCGGGCCAGCCGCCGCUGUAAUACGGAGGGUCGGAGCGUUAUCCGGAUUUAUUGGGUUUAAAGGGAGCGUAGGUGGAUUGUUAAGUCAGUUGUGAAAGUUUGCGGCUCAACCGUAAAAUUGCAGUUGAAACUGGCAGUCUUGAGUACAGUAGAGGUGGGCGGAAUGCGUGGUGUAGCGGUGAAAUGCUUAGAUAUCACGAAGAACUCCGAUUGCGAAGGCAGUUCACUGGACUGCAACUGACACUGAGGCUCGAAAGUGUGGGUAUCAAACAGGAUUAGAUACCCUGGUAGUC
rnacentral:rRNA from 1 species